rnacentral:rRNA from 1 species
AUGGAACAAGAUCAGGUUAAAUUAGCAGCACUCAUCGCAGAGCUAGAGGAGCCAGUGGGUCUCUGUGACUUGCCGGGAAUUGACCCUCCUAAUACUAAGAGAAAGAAGGGGAGGGCAAUAAAGAAUUUUUCUGAGUGGAUAGAGAAAGAGCCUCCUGUGAAUUGGUCUUUGCUGCAUGACAUCCAUGGAGCUAGGUAA